GGCCUUUCCACGUGCUCGCACGGUCCCAGGCCGCGUCCUGUGCUGACUGGCCUGGUCCUGAGGCCUCACUUCUCACCGGGCAGCCUUGCCUGGGUUAAGGUUCUGUUACCUCUACAUUAGGGGUUCGCAGGUCUCAGUUUAGCAGGGAGAGAACCCAUACGUGAGCCAGCGUAGUGAAAGGGCAGAAGUACCUUCAGGUCUGGGGGCUUCCGGAAGGAGGGGCUGCCAAGUUUCCAAGUCAUCACAGAAAAGAGGAAGGGCCAGGCCCAGGGGGCAGUGAGGAGGGCCUAAGGGAGAGCAGAGGUGGGGCACAGCAGCUUCUCGGAGGACCUCCAGGAAGCUCUGCCGACCUGAGCCAUAGGAAAGGAGUCCCGAGUCCCAGAAGCCUCCUUGUGCCCUGAUGCUGUCCUCUGGGGCCCAGCAUCCAAGUGAGGCCUGUCUGUCGGAAUCUUUCAGAUGCGGAGCCCAAGCCACAGGGAGGAGCGAGGAGGGAACUGCUGACUUGCCACCUGUGACCCUGGCCAGAGGUGCCUCACCCGAGUGGUAGGAGCCAGUCAGACCCUGGCCCCUUGGUAUGUGCCAGCGCCUCUCAGGAGGUGGCAGAGGAUUGUGCAGGCCUAGCAGCUCCUGUUUCAAAAUGUGAUCAGUGGUGCACAAUAUGCUCCGGGCCUGUUUGUCUCAUUAGCCAUGGAGAGAGGGAAACGGGGGCGGAACGGGAGCUGGCUGUGAUGAGGCGCUCGGCGGCCAGCGGGAGGCGCGUCUCCGGAACAGGCCGGGCCUGAAGGACUUCAGGCCAUGGCUCCUGCUGAACCCCUAGGGGUCUGGACUGGCUUAUCCAUCAGCGCCAUGUGGAAGGUGGCAGGCAGGAAGGAAAGGCGGUCUCCAUGUGCCCUAGGUGAGUGACCAGAGUCUGUAUGGGAGAUAACCUCAGCUCAGAUGCCACAGGCACUGUCAC
rnacentral:lncRNA from 1 species